ACAAAAAAAAAAUUAUAAAAUUGUUUAAAAACUUAUAUACAAAAACUAGAAAGUUUCUAGUUUUUACCCAAGCUAACUCCAAAUUAAUUAACCAAUAAGUUAUAUAGUUAACUUAUAAUCCUCAAAUUAAUUUAUAAGGUUAUAUUUCCAUAACCAAUAAUAAUCGGUUAGCAUAAAAAUAGGUUAAAGGAUGCUAUAAUUGAUCUCAAUCAAAUGUACCUGGAUGCACAAGCUAAUCUAUUGACAGAGAAUUUUCAAGCAGCCUUGUUAAAAGAUUAUCGAGAAUGUAAAGCCGACGCAAAAGAAUAUUUCAAGAUGGUCGGAGGGUAUGAAGAUAUCCCGAGAGCAUUGGCCAAUCCUUCGGAUGGUGUGCUUGUUGACAAUUGGGCGAAGACAGUUGAGUAUUUUUAAACUGACGAACACAUAAUUGCUUCAGAAAGGAACAAAAAAAUCCGUGAAAAGCAAACAAAUGUGAAUCGUGGGGGUUCGAGCUCAUAUAGAAGUACUUGCUAUAAGAAGAACCUUAAGAGAGUGGAAACAUUUCACAAAGCUCAUACCGAUAAGAAUGGUGUAUUUGUUACUGCUGAAUUGGAACAACAAUAUAAUCGGUUAGUUGAAGAGCUGUUAGAACAAACUCAAGGUGAAAGUGAGUUAACACCCGCUCAAGAAAGAGCUACAUUUGAGAAAGUAUUAGGAGAGCGACGUGGCCACAUUAGAGGCAUUGGACGCAAACCUUCUGGUCUCCCGACGAUUCCACAGCCUUCGCAACCAUGACAACCACCAUCACAACCA